UAUCUACACACAACAGCUCUUAUUUCAAAAGGAAUACCAGCAUUCAUUCUGGAGUAAAACAUGGGGCUUUCGGUUCCUCAAAUCCCAUUGGUCCAUACGCUCUGUUGUCUUCUGCCUUGAGUUCUCCCUGGCAAGGAGCAGGAACCACCACACACUGCCUCCAGGAAGUUCUCUGUGACUGUAGUCACAGGAAGCACUGAAGAGCGGCCUGCCUUCAGGACUUGAGGGUCCUGAAAUUUUUAAACCUGUAUUUACUACAGGACUAAAAGAUUUUUAUGAUGGACAAUAUCUCUGUAAAAGCAGAGCCUCAGGUUUUUGAAGAUGUGGCUGUGUGCUUCACAGAGCGGGAACUGGCCAGCCUGACACUUGAGCAGAAGGACCUGUACAGGGAAGUGGUUCUUGAGAACUUUGCCCAUGUGGCUUUUCUGGGGUACAUCUCAAAACUAAGAAAAUAUGCUCAAAUGGCCGAAGCAGAGUCAUCCAGAGUGAAGGCGUUCCUCUAAGUCAGGUGUGCCGGAAGACAGGAACAAGGGAGGCGAGGUCAGAGCAUGUCACUGCUUCCAAGUGCACAUUUCCAUCCAAGUAGAUGAAGUGCUUUUA